CAGAGGCAGCAGCAGCUGUUGCAGGUCAGGAGGGGGGAGGGGGAGAAGGCACAUGUGCUUUGCAGCCUUCCCCUCCCCUCCCCCCAGCACUCACCUGGAGGAGACACCGAGGGGGCUUCCGGUCCGGUGGGAGACAGGAAUCUCUGCAGUGGACCUCACUCACCUUAGCAGCUGCUGGGGCUUCGGUCGUCAUCCCUGCUGGGGCCCCGUCGAAACUGUUCGAAUUGGGCCCCGCACUUCCUAAAGCCGGCCCUGCCCACAAGACCCCAAAAUACUGGCUAACUGCUUGGGUCAAAAAGGAGUAACAAGGCAUUAAGGUUCCAGUUAUGAUAUUUGAACCACCACUUUCUCUCAGAGGGAGAUAUCUUUAACUUGCACCUGUGGCUCCAUAGCAGAUUUGCUGGUGGAGGGUGUCUACUAGAUAUGCUGAGUCAUUGCAUCCCAAGGAGCCCUGGAUAGGACCUCUUCUUGGCAAGUACUACCCCUCCUCCCUUUUUUUAAUUGCAGUGGGGGUAAAUACACCCAAAGGCCUUUCUUGAGUCAGUUUUACCUUGCUCCACCUCCUUCAUCAAGAUGGUUUCAGUGAUAGUAAAACCUGACAUAAAGGUAACACUUUCUUGUUCCUAUUUGGGAAGAUGAGCCUCUUACCAUUAUUAAUGUUGCUUGUUUGUUUCUUUCAUAAAAAGGCCCUGGGCGUUUUUCACCUUCUUCUGCAGCAUGGGG